rnacentral:rRNA from 1 species
AUGGUUCCAAUUUUUCCUAAAUUUGGACCAAAAUUAACUUGCUAUAUGGUUACACGAUUGAUUUGUGAAUCCAAUAUGAAUUUUCAAUCUGAACCUAGUUACUGCUAUUCAGCUGGCAAUAAGUUCUGGUUGUUAUCUGCCCGUAAGAACUGGACGGCAAUGCUAGACGAAAUCGAUCGAAUUCCACCAAAGUUUAGCUCAUUUGAUGUCCAUUUCUAG